rnacentral:lncRNA from 1 species
AAUUAAUAAGCAUAGUUAUUUAUCCAAAAAUACAUUUCUAUCUGCCAUGGCAGUCUACAAGAGCCCCUCGUCUUUUCCCAGCCGUUGUUCUAAUAUUUGUACAAAAAAUUGCAGAUAAUGGAGUUAUUAGUCCAUCUCUUGUUGCAUGUAGAGCUACUCCUCAGAAGUGGACCAUUCUAGAAGCAACUUAUGAACUCUCUAAACACCACCAAAUUAUUCUGAAUGAAAGAAGUUUUAAGGUUAUUUAUGUUCUAUACUAUAUAUUUAUAUAUAUAUUUUUUAUAUUAUGUGCCGGUGUAUAUUUUUACACUUUUAUAUUAUGUGUCGAUUUAUAUUUUUACACUUUUCCAUAUUCUUAAAAUCUUGUAAAAGCCAAACAAAGAGGGGGAAAAAGCUCAACCUGCGGGAAUGUAAAAACCAUGUUCUCUCAAGAGUCUGAAGAAAAGUGAAAGAUCAUGAAGAGAGUAUCCAUCAAAAGAAGUGGCUUCCAUAUAAUGUCGCCAGAGAACUGAUUCAAUCUCUUCCUGAAAAUGGUAGUCAACACCUAGUCGCUGGAUAGCAUCCACCAACAUUGAGCUUUCUAUUUGAUUUUCUAAUUCCUCUGAUUUCAAUAAUUCCCUGACAUCCUUCAGUUUUUGUUCAUAUUCCGUGGAAAAUUCAUCCUGCAAGUAAGACUGGUUUUUGCUUUACACUUUUUCAUAACUAUUUUUAUGCGGAAAUUUCCAUAACUAUAUAUUUAUAUACUUUUUUAUAUUUUUUAUACUUGAUGAUAGUGACUUGUCGGCGGGACUAUUUCUCCCGGAAAUUGUUGAUGAGAAGAUGAGACCAACUUGUGAAUACCGUAGGGUUAUACAUUAAACUAAAAAUUACUUCCUAAUAGUCACUCCAGAUGAAGUGAAGAAAUUCUUCCAAUAUGAUCCAUACACAGAAGAUGAUAAUGACAUACUUGUGGGAGAUUUCUUUACUGUACAAAAUUAUAAAAGGAUUGAAACCCAAAUAAUUUCAAAUGAGACAAAUAACUUGUUCUCAGGAAAUUAUUCGUCAUUCAACCUGAAGAACUAACAAAUGAAGACGAAAACCAUAUAGAAAUCAAGGAAUAAAUUAUAAGGGGGUAAAUUCAAAGAAGACGAAAUUAACAUGCAAGUCGAUAAGCAGAUCGAAGUCUAGUUAAGUUUGAAUUGAGUGAUUUAGGCUAUUCAUAUCAUAUUCAAAAGGACAAAGUAAGGUUUUGGAAUAUAUACCAAUUAUGGUGUUAAGAUAUUAUUUUUAUUGUAUCUUUUCAGGUAUGAUGAAAAUAUCGUACAAGAAUACGAAAAGAAAGGAGAGUAAAAGUCAAGGGCUAAAGGAGAGACCUUAUAAACACGGUGAGUAUUGCAGCCCUUUCUUUAAACCUAUUUUGUGCACACAUUAAGUACAAAGUGUAUAAAAAUAUUGCCUUAUUUUAUUUUGAUAAUCUGAGUUGGUUAGGCUUGCUGGCCUAACGAUUAUGGUUAUUUGAAAUUUCUUAUGAAGCAUAAAUUGAGACUAGGUAAUGUAUUUAUUUAUUUUGCUAAUUUGAUACUUAUACAUUUUUUAUCGUAUUCAAUAGAGUAUAUAAUCAUGAUAAUGAAUAUGAAUUUUUGGAUUGUUUACGGUAAUACAAUAUGUUGAAUGAACUUUACGUCUGUUUCAAUCCUACCUACUACUGGAAUAUAAAUAUAAAAAAACAACCACUUGACCAACUGGAAUGACUAGUUUGGGGAUGGUUGAUCUGUAUUGAAAAUCCUACCUACUACAAAAGAGAGGAUGGAGUUUUACUGUUCAUUUUUGGGCCAUUUUCACACUAGGAUUGGUUUCAAACUGGUUCAUUCUGUUGUUUUAAUAACGCAUGGGUCGACUUUGACCAAUAAAUAAUGAAAUUGAGAAAACGCAGCUAAAAAUGGACAUAAGUAUUUACGUGAUUCACCCAAAUUUUGGCUACGUUCACGGGCAAGUAUAGGAGGAUUUUACUAUAGUAGGAGAAUUACAACAACUCUCUAAAUACAAGGGGAUACCAACAAUUAAUAUCUCUUUUAAUAGAAAAAACAAGUAGGAAAUACUAUAGGAAGAAACAAUAAUUUUUCUCUCUAUUUUUAUCUCUCUACUCACAAUUUUCUCUCCACUCAAUAUUUUCUUUUCUCUCAAUUUUUUUCUCUCCAACACGGCUUAUUUCACUUGGCGUGUUAAUUCUCUAUUUAUAGAGAAAUUUGGCUUCAAACCGUCUCACUUUGUUUGGCUCAAAACUUGCCAUCAAGGUGCAUAUGAAAGAGGAGAGUAGGAUGCAUGUGAGAGCCUGGUUGGAGAAUUAAUAGCCUUGCAUGUGGGAGACUUGUUCAUAAAGAAAGUGGCUGGACCAAAGCUCAAAAAUUCCACUGCCUAUGUAUUAAAUGCUUGCAUGAAUUUUGUCAUUUUGUAGUUAAAAUUUGUGGCUUUAAUUUUCAACAUUUCUCCCACUUAAAGUCACUUUUGUUGACCACUUCAAUCCUACCCAUACUUGCCAUUUCCAUGCCACUUACGUUUCUGCCAAGCCGAUAGAGGAUCGACACCAAAUGAACUUGUCAGUACCGAUUGGCUUUGUCAACAUAUCUGCUAGGUUGUCCAUUGUAUGGAUUUUCUAUAUAUCCACACUUCCUUUUUCUACCUUCUCUCGAACAAAGUGAUACUAGACUCGAAUAUGCUUUGUCCUCUGAUGAAAUACUGGAUUCUUUACCAAAUGCAAAGCACUCUGACUAUCACAAAAUAGAGUAAUCUUCUCUUGUUUGUGUCCGAGCUCCUCCAUUAACAUUUGUAACAAGAUUGUCUCUUUCCUGGCUUGUGUAGCUGCCACGUAUUCUGCUCCGUCGUAGAAGUAGCCACGAUAGGCUGUAGUUUCGAAACCCAGCCUACAGCUCCUCCAGCAAGAGUAAACACAUAUCCAGUGGUGGACUUACUUUUGUCAAGAUCACCUGCAUAAUCUGAAUCAACAUAGCCUCUGACAAUAAAAUCUGAUCCGCCAUAACAUAAUGUAACAUUUGAGGUACCCUUGACAUAUCUCAGGAUCCUCUUUACAGUACUCCAAUGCUCUUUAUCAAGAUUUGCCAUGUAUCGACUAACCACUCCUACUGCUUGUGCAAUGUCUGGUCUUGUACAGAUCAUAACAAACAUCAGGCUACCCACUACUGAUGCAUACGGUACUCGAGACAUCUCCACUUUCUCUGCUUCUUUGCUAGGACUCAUACUUGAGGAUAACUUAAAAUUAAUAGGAAGAGGGGUAGAAAUUGGCUUACAAUCUUUCAUAUUGAAGCGAUGCAAGAUUUUCUUCAAGUAGUUCUUCUAAUUAAGCCAAAUCUUUCUAUUAUUUCUGUCUCGAUAAAUUUGCAUCCCUAGAAUCUUGUUUGUUGGUCCCAAGUCCUUCAUUUCAAACUCCCUAGCUAACUGUGCCAUCAAAUUAUCAAUACGAUCUUUGUUCGAGCCUAUUACCAACAUGUCAUCAACAUACAACAGCAGAAUAAUGAAAUCAUUAUCACCAAAUCUCAUCUAGUAUGCACAUGGAUCUUAACUAAGUUUGUUGUAUCCAAGGCUCAUGAUGAAGGAAUCAAAUCUCUUAUACCAACAUCUCGGCACCUGUUUGAGACCGUAUAGAGAUUUGUUCAACCUGCAAACCAAGUUCUCUUUUCCUUUUUCUUCAAAACCUUCUGGUUGGAGCAUAUAAAUCUCUUCUUCAAGUUCUCCAUGAAGAAAUGCAAUUUUUACAUCUAAUUGCUCGAAGUGUAAGUCAAAUGUAGUACACAUUCCCAAGACUACUCGAAUUGUUGUGGUCGAACCACAGGAAAAAAUAUUUCGUUGAAGUCUAUGCCUUCUUUCUGAGCAUACCCUUUCACCACCAGUCUCGCACGAUACCGCUCCACUUGGUCAUUGCUAUCUCGUUUUAUCUUAUAGACCCAUUUAUUCCCAAUGGCCUUCCUUCCAUGUGGUAGUGGAACAAGAUUCCAUGUCUUGUUCUUAUGAAGAGUUUCAAUUUCUUCUUGCAUUACAGCCAUCCACUGAGAAACUUCUUGGCUAUUUAUAGCCUCAUGAAAAGUUGAUGGCUCUCCAUCUUCUGUCAAUAAGUAGUAUGCAACAUUACCCUCCAUAAUGUAAUAUGAGUGCCAAGCCAGUUCUCUUCUCUUCCGUGUUGAUCGUUGAACAUUUGGAGCACCAGAUUCAGCUUGUUCUUCAUGUUCUAGUGUUGCUUCAGAAGAAUCUAUAUCUACUCGUUCGUCUCCAACUUCGACUGUAGUAGUCUCUGGUUUUUCUUUUGAAGUGCUAUCAUUUCCUUUUUCCUGUGUUUUGGCUUCUGCAAAUAUGACAUCUCUACUGAUUAUCACCUUAUGGGUAGUGGGAUCCCCCAGGCGGUACCCCUUAACUCCAUUAGGAUACCCUAAGAAAAUACAUUUUCUAGAUUUUGGAUCCAGCUUUGAUGUUUCUUGGGUGUUUUACAUAACGUACACAGGACUUCCAAAUAUACGUAAGUGAGAAUAAUUAGCCGGUUUAUUAGUCCACAUUUCCAUCGGUGUCUUCAAGUCAAUUGCGGUUGAUGGCGACUGAUUGAUCACAUAACAGGUAGUUUUGACUGCUUCUGCCCAGAAUGACUUGGCUAACUUUGAAGUUCUCAACAUUGCUCUUGUUCUUUCUAACAAUGUUCUGUUCAUCCGCUCUGCCACUCCAUUUCGCUGUAGAGUGUAUGCCACUAUGAACUGUCUCUUGAUACCUUCUUGUUGACAGAAGUUAUCAAAUUAAUCACCAGUAUAUUCUUUUCCAUUGUCAGUCCUCAGACACUUGAUCUUCUUUUCAAAUUCAAGCUCCACAUGUGCUUUGAAUACUUUGAAGACUACAAACACGUCUGCCUUUCUCUUAAUUGGAUACACCCAACGUCUCCUGGAGUAAUCAUCAAUAAAAGAUACAAAGUAUCUUGCACCUCCUAGGGACAUAACCGGUGCUUGCCAAACUCGAAAUGGACCAGUUCCAAGAUAGCUUUACUUCUAGGAGUAGAACCAUUGAACUUCAAUCUGUGCUAUUUACUAGUAAUACAAUGCUCACAAAAGGGUAAUGAAACCUUUUUGAGACCUGGAAGAAGCUUUUGUUCUGAGAGAAUUUUCAAACCACGUUCCGACAUGUGACCAAGCUUGCGAUGCCACAUCAUCGUUAAUUCUUCUGCUGAACCUGUCGAUGCGACAGAUGCUUCUCCUUCUUAUAGUGUUUUCCUUUAAGCAUGUACAAAUUUGCAGCUAUCUUUUCUGCUUUUAUCACCACAAGCGCGCCUCUAAUUAUUUUCAUAAUCCCAUCUUGUAUAUGGGUUUUGCAACCAAUGCUAUCUAAUUGUCCUAAAGACAAUAGAUUUUUCUUCAAGCCUUUUACGCGCCGUACCUCCUGAAUAGUGCAAAUUGUAUCAUCAUACAUUUUCAAUUUGAUGGUACCAAUACCAGCGAUCUCCAAGGCACAAUCAUUUUCCAUAAACACAGAUCCUCCUGGAAUAAUCUCAUAUUGAUGGAACCAUUCCCUCAUUGGUGUCAUGUGCCAUGUAGCUCCUGAAUACAUAAGCCAGACAUUAGAAAAUUUAUUUCUGCCUUCAACAAUUGUUGUUGCCUCGCUGUACAAAAUUUCACCAUCAUCUGAGGUGCUUGCUACACAACCCUGAGCUUUUGACAUCUCAGGACCUUUUUCUUUGGCUUCUUCAUUCUUCUUAAAGCUCCAACAAUCCCUUUUUAAAUGCCCUUUCUUGCCACAGUAAUGACACUUGACAUUUUUAUUACUCUUGAAUUUUGAUCUACUCUGAUUAUGACUCCCACUGGAGCCACGUUCCGUUGAUCUCUCUCUCAUCAUCAUUAAAGCUUCCACCUGAUGCAAACUUGUCGAUCUAUCCUCCUCAUUUUUUUUGCCGACUUUCUUCUUCAAGAACAGCAGCUACAAUAAGACUAGAGUUUCAAGGUUGUUGGUUAAGUUGAUGAUGAGUAGAUCAUACGAAUCUGGCAGACUUUGAAGUAAGAUUUCAGCACGUUCACCCGCCUCUAUAUUAUACUCCAUUGAUGUGAGCUGUGAAAAUAAAGUGUUGAGGGUGUUGAUGUGGUCGGUCACCGUAGUUGACUCCAUCAUCCGAAGGGUGUAAAGCUUCCUCUUCAAGAAGAUUUUGUUGUGUAACGAUUUGGCCUCGUACUGUUUUGUCAGCAUAUCCCAUAUAUUCUUUCGCCGUCUUUUUCUCUACCAUACUUGACAAUACUCCAUCGGCUAGUGCAAGGUGCAGAUUAGCAACUGCAUUGCUAUCCAUCUCGUUCCACUUAGUAUCAUCAAUGAUCUUCACAGGCCUUUGUCCAAUUGCCGCCAAGCAGUUAUCUUUCCGCAAAACUGCUUUUAUUCUCAUUUUCCAUAAUGAGAAAUUAUUCCCAUUGAACUUUUCAAUCUCAUACUUUGUCGCCAUUUUGUUCACCAAUAAUAUAACUAAACAACGACCCUACACAGAACCUUGCUCUGAUACCACUGUUGUUUUAAUAACGCGUGGGUCGACUUUGACUAACAAAUAAUGAAAUUGAGAAAACGCGGCUAAAAAUGGAUACAAGUAUUUACGUGAUUCACCCAAAUUUUGGCUACGUCCACAGGCAAAUAUAUGAGGAUUUUACUAUAGUAGGAGAAUUAUAAAAACUCUCUAAAUACAAGGAGAUACCAACAAUUAAUCUCUCUUGUAAUAGAAAAAACAAGUAGGAAAUACUAUAGGAAGAAACAAUAAUUUUUCUCUCUAUUUUUAUCUCUCUACUCACAAUUUUCACUCUACUCAAUCUUUUCUUUUCUCUCAAUUUUUUUCUCUCCAACACGGCUUAUUUCACUUGGCAUGUUAGUUCUCUAUUCAUAGAGAAAUUUGGCUUCAAACNGUAGAAGUAGCCACGAUAGACUGUAGUUUCGAAACCCAGCUUACAGCUCCUCCAGCAAGAGUAAACACAUAUCCAGUGAUGGACUUACUUUUGUCAAGAUCACCUGCAUAAUCUGAAUCAACAUAGCCUCUGACAAUAAAAUCUGAUCCGCCAUAACAUAAUGUAACAUUUGAGGUACCCUUGACAUAUCUCAGGAUCCUCUUUACAGUACUCCAAUGCUCUUUAUCAAGAUUUGCCAUGUAUCGACUAACCACUCCUACUGCUUGUACAAUGUCUGGUCUUGUACAGAUCAUAACAAACAUCAGGCUACCCACUACUGAUGCAUACGGUACUCUAGACAUCUCCACUUUCUCUGCUUCUUUGCUAGGACUCAUACUUGAGGAUAACUUAAAAUUAAUAGGAAGAGGGGUAGAAAUUGGCUUACAAUCUUUCAUAUUGAAGCGAUGCAAGAUUUUCUUCAAGUAGUUCUUCUAAUUAAGCCAAAUCUUUCUAUUAUUUCUGUCUCGAUAAAUUUGCAUCCAUAGAAUCUUGUUUGUUGGUCCCAAGUCCUUCAUUUCAAACUCCCUAGCUAACUGUGCCAUCAAAUUAUCAAUACGAUCUUUGUUCGAGCCUAUUACCAACAUGUCAUCAACAUACAACAGCAGAAUAAUGAAAUCAUUAUCACCAAAUCUCAUCUAGUAUGCACAUGGAUCUUAACUAAGUUUGUUGUAUCCAAGGCUCAUGAUGAAGGAAUCAAAUCUCUUAUACCAACAUCUCGGCACCUGUUUAAGACCGUAUAGAGAUUUGUUCAACCUGCAAACCAAGUUCUCUUUUCCUUUUUCUUCAAAACCUUCUGGUUGGAGCAUAUAAAUCUCUUCUUCAAGUUCUCCAUGAAGAAAUGCAAUUUUUACAUCUAAUAGCUCGAAGUGUAAGUCAAAUGUAGUACACAUUCCCAAGACUACUCGAAUUGUUGUGGUCGAACCACAGGAAAAAAUAUUUCGUUGAAGUCUAUGCCUUCUUUCUGAGCAUACCCUUUCACCACCAGUCUCGCACGAUACCGCUCCACUUGGUCAUUGCUAUCUCGUUUUAUCUUAUAGACCCAUUUAUUCCCAAUGGCCUUCCUUCCAUGUGGUAGUGGAACAAGAUUCCAUGUCUUGUUCUUAUGAAGAGUUUCAAUUUCUUCUUGCAUUACAGCCAUCCACUGAGAAACUUCUUGGCUAUUUAUAGCCUCAUGAAAAGUUGAUGGCUCUCCAUCUUCUGUCAAUAAGUAGUAUGCAACAUUACCCUCCAUAAUGUAAUAUGAGUGCCAAGCCAGUUCUCUUCUCUUCCGUGUUGAUCGUUGAACAUUUGGAGCACCAGAUUCAGCUUGUUCUUCAUGUUCUAGUGUUGCUUCAGAAGAAUCUAUAUCUACUCGUUCGUCUCCAACUUCGACUGUAGUAGUCUCUGGUUUUUCUUUUGAAGUGCUAUCAUUUCCUUUUUCCUGUGUUUUGGCUUCUGCAAAUAUGACAUCUCUACUGAUUAUCACCUUAUGGGUAGUGGGAUCCCCCAGGCGGUACCCCUUAACUCCAUUAGGAUACCCUAAGAAAAUACAUUUUCUAGAUUUUGGAUCCAGCUUUGAUGUUUCUUGGGUGUUUUACAUAACGUACACAGGACUUCCAAAUAUAUGUAAGUGAGAAUAAUUAGCCGGUUUAUUAGUCCACAUUUCCAUCGGUGUCUUCAAGUCAAUUGCGGUUGAUGGCGACUGAUUGAUCACAUAACAGGUGGUUUUGACUGCUUCUGCCCAGAAUGACUUGGCUAACUUUGAAGUUCUCAACAUUGCUCUUGUUCUUUCUAACAAUGUUCUGUUCAUCCGCUCUGCCACUCCAUUUCGCUGUAGAGUGUAUGCCACUAUGAACUGUCUCUUGAUACCUUCUUGUUGACAGAAGUUAUCAAAUUAAUCACCAGUAUAUUCUUUUCCAUUGUCAGUCCUCAGACACUUGAUCUUCUUUUCAAAUUCAAGCUCCACAUGUGCUUUGAAUACUUUGAAGACUACAAACACGUCUGCCUUUCUCUUAAUUGGAUACACCCAACGUCUCCUGGAGUAAUCAUCAAUAAAAGAUACAAAGUAUCUUGCACCUCCUAGGGACAUAACCGGUGCUUGCCAAACUCGAAAUGGACCAGUUCCAAGAUAGCUUUACUUCUAGGAGUAGAACCAUUGAACUUCAAUCUGUGCUAUUUACUAGUAAUACAAUGCUCACAAAAGGGUAAUGAAACCUUUUUGAGACCUGGAAGAAGCUUUUGUUCUGAGAGAAUUUUCAAACCACGUUCCGACAUGUGACCAAGCUUGCGAUGCCACAUCAUCGUUAAUUCUUCUGCUGAACCUGUCGAUGCGACAUAUGCUUCUCCUUCUUAUAGUGUUUCUCCUUUAAGCAUGUACAAAUUUGCAGCUAUCUUUUUUGCUUUUAUCACCACAAGCGCGCCUCUGAUUAUUUUCAUAAUCCCAUCUUGUAUAUGGGUUUUGCAACCAAUGCUAUCUAAUUGUCCUAAAGACAAUAGAUUUUUCUUCAAGCCUUUUACGUGCCGUACCUCCUGAAUAGUGCAAAUUGUAUCAUCAUACAUUUUCAAUUUGAUGGUACCAAUACCAGCGAUCUCCAAGGCACAAUCAUUUUCCAUAAACACAGAUCCUCCUGGAAUAAUCUCAUAUUGAUGGAACCAUUCCCUCAUUGGUGUCAUGUGCCAUGUAGCUCCUGAAUCCAUAAGCCAGACAUUAGAAAAUUUAUUUCUGCCUUCAACAAUUGUUGUUGCCUCGCUGUACAAAAUUUCACCAUCAUCUGAGGUGCUUGCUACACAACCCUGAGCUUUUGACAUCUCAGGACCUUUUUCUUUGGCUUCUUCAUUCUUCUUAAAGCUCCAACAAUCCCUUUUUAAAUGCCCUUUCUUGCCACAGUAAUGACACUUGACAUUUUUAUUACUCUUGAAUUUUGAUCUACUCUGAUUAUGACUCCCACUGGAGCCACGUUCCGUUGAUCUCCCUCUCAUCAUCAUUAAAGCUUCCACCUGAUGCAAACUUGUCGAUCUAUCCUCCUCAUUUUUUUUGCCGACUUUCUUCUUCAAGAACAGCAGCUACAAUAAGACUAGAGUUUCAAGGUUGUUGGUUAAGUUGAUGAUGAGUAGAUCAUACGAAUCUGGCAGACUUUGAAGUAAGAUUUCAGCACGUUCACCCGCCUCUAUAUUAUGCUCCAUUGAUGUGAGCUGUGAAAAAAAAGUGUUGAGGGUGUUGAUGUGGUCGGUUACCGUAGUUGACUCCAUCAUCCGAAGGGUGUAAAGCUUCCUCUUCAAGAAGAUUUUGUUGUGUAACGAUUUGGCCUCGUACUGUUUUGUCAGCAUAUCCCAUAUUUCUUUCGCCGUCUUUUUCUCUACCACACUUGACAAUACUCCAUCGGCUAGUGCAAGGUGCAGAUUAGCAACUGCAUUGCUAUCCAUCUCGUUCCACUUAGUAUCAUCAAUGAUCUUCACAGGCCUUUGUCCAAUUGCCGCCAAGCAGUUAUCUUUCCGCAAAACUGCUUUUAUUCUCAUUUUCCAUAAUGAGAAAUUAUUCCCAUUGAACUUUUCAAUCUCAUACUUUGUCGCCAUUUUGUUCACCAAUAAUAUAACUAAACAACGACCCUACACAGAACCUUGCUCUGAUACCACUGUUGUUUUAAUAACGCGUGGGUCGACUUUGACUAACAAAUAAUGAAAUUGAGAAAACGCGGCUAAAAAUGGAUACAAGUAUUUACGUGAUUCACCCAAAUUUUGGCUACGUCCACGGGCAAAUAUAUGAGGAUUUUACUAUAGUAGGAGAAUUAUAAAAACUCUCUAAAUACAAGGAGAUAUCAACAAUUAAUCUCUCUUGUAAUAGAAAAAACAAGUAGGAAAUACUAUAGGAAGAAACAAUAAUUUUUCACUCUAUUUUUAUCUCUCUACUCACAAUUUUCACUCUACUCAAUCUUUUCUUUUCUCUCAAUUUUUUUCUCUCCAACACGGCUUAUUUCACUUGGCAUGUUAGUUCUCUAUUCAUAGAGAAAUUUGGCUUCAAACUGUCUCACUUUGUUUCGCUCAAAACCUGCCAUCAAGGUGCAUAUGAAAGAGGAGAGUAGGAUGUAUAUGAGAACCUCGUUAGACAAUUAAUAGCCUUGCAUGUGGGAGACUUGUUCAUGAAGAAAGUGGCUGGACCAAAGCUCAAAAAUUCCACUGCCUAUGUAUUAAAUGCUUGCAUGAAUUUUAUCAUUUUGUAGUCAACAUUUGUGGCUUUAAUUUUCAACACAUUCACUGUUGUCAACUGGUUUUUCUACUAUUCAUCAAUAAACAUCUCACUAUUGUCCUCUUGCAUGUCUCUUCUCAACCCACUUUCUUCCUCUUUCGCUUCUUUUUCUCUUUCGCUUCUUUUCCCACCAUCUUCAAAUUUUUCCCAGAAUUCCUUCGUAGAAAAUAAUCAUAGCUCUCUUUUUUUCAAUUCUCUAACCACGUUUACAUUUUUCCCCGAAUCACAACAAUAUAGGUUCUCGAAAAGGAAAACAAUUAAAUACAUAAUUCUGUGCUUUCCGUAACUGAAUCCAUUUCCUUUUCGAUAAUGGAAGAAUAAAAUUAUGUUGCCGGUCUCAGACGAUGUGCCGGAGCGGAGGUUGUGAGAACAUCGGAGGCUACGGUGAUGAUGUUGGUUUCCUGCUCUUUUUCGUCUGCAUUUUUCACUUUAGUUUGUAAAAGGUCUCGGGUAUACUUGUUUAUGUAUAUUUUCUAUAACAUAUUUUAUACAUAAUUUUUUUUAUAUUAUGUGUAAAAAGAAGUUUUAAGAACAUGGUUUUUACACUUUAUAUAUUUUUAUAUUUUUUUAUAUUAUGUGUCGAGGAAAUUUCUGCACAAAAAUAGUUAUGGAAAAGUGUAAAGCAAAAACCAAUCUUACUUGCAGGAUGAAUUUUCCACGGAAUAUGAACAAAAACUGAAGGAUGUCAAGGAAUUAUUGAAAUCAGAGGAAUUAGAAAAUCAAAUAGAAAGCCUAAUGUUGGUGGAUGCUAUCUAGCGUCUAAGUGUUGACUACCAUUUUCAGGAAGAGAUUGAAUCAGUUCUUCGGUGACAUUAUAAGGAAGCCACUUCUUUUGAUGGAUACACUCUUCAUGAUCUUUCACUUUUCUUCAGACUCUUGAGAGAACAUGAUUUUUACAUUCCCGCAGGUUGAGCUUUUUCCCCCUCUUUGUUUGGUGCUUGUUUUUGUUAAUUACCCAUGACUAGGGCUGGGCAAAUCUCCCGAACCG